AUUAAUCAUUUCACGUUUGGACUGAAAGUCCAGUUUUGAGAACUGCUUCAGCUUAGCAAUAAAAUCUUCCAUUUUCGCCGUCAAGUAGAAGUGUAGAAGAAGAGCAACGUUUCCCAGCAUAACCCCGACAGGUGCGCUCUCGCACGCCCCCUUCAUUGAGGCAGAGGUACUGUGUGCCUCACCUACAUGAUUUUUCAAUGCGUUUUGAGCUCAGCUCAAAGGUUCUACGCAUGCGCACGCAUGCGCAAAACCCAGUUUGGAGCGAUUGCGCAAUCCUAGGUGAGGCACUGCCUCACUAGCUCCCAUAGACAAUACAUGGUGCCUAACCUGACCGCACGUCCCUUGUUUUCUCCCGUCUAUUUGAAUAGGACAUGCGCAAAUUCAGCGAAUUCAGCGAUUUUGAUUAUAAAAAUGCUCGAAAUGAUUGGAAUCAUGCAGAAAUUACACCUAUACCACAGAUUAGUAGAGAAAUAUCAAUAUUUAUUUUAUUUUAUAAUUUUUUUUUUUUUUUCAAGAUGACAGGCUCUGCCUCACCUGCCUCAUAGGACCGCACGUCCCUGAUUUAAUGUUUAAUUGAUCUUUUGUAGAUUCUCUCUAAAUGUGAGUAGGUCAAAUUUUACCAUUUGAUUCAGUAACCACAUAUAACAUUUUUCAUCUCUCUCUCUCUCUUGUAAUUCAAUGAAACAUUUUGGUUGUACUGGAACAAAUUGAAAUAGAAAUUCUUUUUACAAUUUUUUCAAAGUUUAUUUUUGUAUUACCAUCAUUUUUUAUAAAAUCUUCAGAACUGAAAAUGUUUUGAAAAACGAGUACGCUUUUUGUUUAAUGUCUAGACCACAAGAUCCUUCACCAGUGCUGAUUUCCCCACCCAGUUUCCACCUCCACUUCCUCCAGUAUUCCACAGGGCAUUUUCAAGAUCCAUAUUCAGUCCUUUUUAUCACAAAUAAGACAAUAUAAUGAAGUAGUUUCGCAGGGGUUUGUAAUUGUUUGUAAAACAAACAUACGCUAAUAUGAAUUCAUUUUAAUACUGGCCUUUGAUACUAAUUUAAGUGAUACUUAAGUUUUAGAGGCUUGAUACUCUAUUACACAUCAUGCAAAUAGCU
ensembl:lncRNA